CAACACCUCAACCCAUAGUCGUAGCCAUGCCAAGUCUAUGUCCGACAAACGCGUCUCCUUCAGCAUCCUUCAAAUCCGCACCUACGAAACCAUUCUUGGCGACAACCCCUCCUGCUCC
rnacentral:SRP_RNA from 1 species